UACGUAGGGUCCGAGCGUUGUCCGGAAUUACUGGGCGUAAAGAGCUCGUAGGCGGUUUGUCGCGUUGUUCGUGAAAACUCACAGCUCAACUGUGGGCGUGCGGGCGAUACGGGCAGACUUGAGUACUGCAGGGGAGACUGGAAUUCCUGGUGUAGCGGUGGAAUGCGCAGAUAUCAGGAGGAACACCGGUGGCGAAGGCGGUUCGCUGGGCCUUUCCUGACGCUGAGGAGCGAAAGCAUGGGGAGCAAACAGG
rnacentral:rRNA from 1 species